rnacentral:misc_RNA from 1 species
UACAAACCCUAAACGAAAUCUCUCUCUCUCUCUCUCGUUUUCUCCAUCCGAUUAUCUGAUCCUCGAGAAGGAAUCUGUUUAGAUCUGUUUCAACUGAUGAAUGCAAUUUGAUAGUAGUUGAAUUUGAUGGAUGAUGAUUGUACAGAUGGAUAAAAUGUCUGCUCCUUCCUCAAGGGAGCGUGCGCAACGUCUUUACGAAAAGAAUAUUGAGCUGGAGAAUAAGCGUCGGAGGUCAGCUCAGGCAAGAAUUCCUUCAGAUCCCAAUGCCUGGCAACAGAUGCGGGAGAACUAUGAAGCUAUAGUUCUCGAGGAUCAUGGUUUUUCUGAGCAGCACAA